GCCGAGGUGGUGGAAUUGGUAGACACGCGGUCUUGAGGGGGCCGUGGGUGCAAACCCGUAGGAGUUCAAAUCUCCUCCUCGGCACCA
rnacentral:tRNA from 2 species